rnacentral:rRNA from 1 species
GACGAACGCUGGCGGCGUGCUUAACACAUGCAAGUCGAACGGAAAGGCCUUGUUUUUGUGGGUUGCUUGAGUGGCGGGCGGGUAAGACACACGUGAGUUACCCGCCCUUCUGUUUGAAGUCACUUCAGCUAACUCGGGUUCCUACUGGAACGGCGCUCCUGCUGCAUGGUGGGGGUUGGAUAGUUUCGGGGGAUGGGGAUGGACUCGCGGCUCUUCAGCUUGUUGGUGGGGAAGUGGAUUACCACGGCUUGGACGGGUAGCCGGCCUGUGGGGGUGACCGGCCACAUUGGGACUGAGAUACGGCCCAGACUCCUCCGGGAGGAAGCAGUGGGGAAAAUUGCACAAUGGGCCAAACCCUGAUGCAGCAAGGCCGCGUGCGGAAUGCCGGCCUUCGGGUGGUAAACCGCUUUCGCCUGGGACGAAGCGUGUGUGACGGUAAUGGGUAAAGAAGCACCGGCUAACUACGUG